AACGAACGCUGGCGGCAUGCCUAACACAUGCCAGUCGAACGAGACCUUCGGGUCUAGUGGCGCACGGGUGCGUAACGCGUGGGAACCUGCCCUUAGGUUCGGAAUAACUCCCCGAAAGGGGUGCUAAUACCGGCUAAUGUCUUCGGACCAAAGAUUUAUCGCCUUUGGAUGGGCCCGCGUUGGAUUAGCUAGUUGGUAGGGUAAAAGCCUACCAAGGCGACGAUCCAUAGCUGGUCUGAGAGGAUGAUCAGCCACACUGGGACUGAGACACGGCCCAGACUCCUACGGGAGGCAGCAGUGGGGAAUAUUGGACAAUGGGCGAAAGCCUGAUCCAGCAAUGCCGCGUGAGUGAUGAAGGCCUUAGGGUUGUAAAGCUCUUUUACCCGGGAUGAUAAUGACAGUACCGGGAGAAUAAGCGCCGGCUAACUCCGUG
rnacentral:rRNA from 1 species